UCUUAAAAUUAAACAUAAAUAAUUAAUUAGCCUAUUCCCAAAUUAAUUAGACAUUUUCUUCAACAUUAACCUAUUCCCAAUUUUAUUUUACUUUUCAUCUUCUCCAACUCACAAACAAAAAUUGCAGAAGCAAACAUUGUCGAAGGCCAUUGUCGCGCCAAUCUCCCCAGCUUCGCCGUCGUCGAGCUUUCUCCCCAGCUCCGGUGUCGACAUUGUUCCAUGCUUGCAAAGCCUAGCUUCAGCACGUUGCUCCACUACCCAUCCACCUGUUGUUGCCAAUCCAACCUCAGACCAGAUUUCAACCUUCUCGUUGCUCUAAUCCGCCAAAGCCCAGAUGCUGCCACCAUCGUGAGGAAAGCCCCAAACCCCAACCCGUUGUUGCCAAUCCGAAGCCCAGUUGUUGCUCAGAUGCUCCAACCAACAUUUUGCCACCAUCUUGAGGAAAGCUCUAAGCCGCCUCAUCCCUAUCCCUGAGCAAAAUAAUGUGCCUAGGAUAGGCAGCGAUGGAGGAAGGCAUACUAAAGAUUCUGAAGAAAGUAGUAUUAUUCCUGAAAGUAUGGGAAGGCAUUACUUUUGCAUUGUAUUAGUGCAGAUGGCAUUUUUUGAAAGCAAGAAGGUUAAGUCAUUUGAAUCAACAGCUGAAGUAGAUGAGUGAUUGUUUUCUAAUCCUAUGCUGACCCCCGGAGACUUGCAUUUUGCUGAACUAAAUGCUACUGUAAUUAGCUAAGGUAUACAGACUAAUUCAACUCCAUUAGAAGAAAAAAAAAAGGGAACUAUGAAGACCCCACAUUCAAGUUUCAAAUACCACUUCAGAUUGCAGCAGAGUGUGAAAUUGCUAGGUCUCUCAUUGGAGUCAUGCUUCAAAUGACUACUUCUAUUAUCCAGAACUUAGCAUAGAAGGUACAAGGGAAUCAACUAAGCUCAGCAGCAAUAAGUAUUAUCCUAGUUAUAUGAUCUCAUACAGUGAGGAAAAGCUUCUCAUUACAAGUGGUUGGUGUUGCUUCUUUUGUCUUUCUUUUAGUGGUAAUUUUAUAUAAAAAGUAUAUUAUGAUUGUUUGUGCUAUUCAAAAUUUAUAUGAAACAAUGAAUUUAUAGUUUGUAAUAUUGAGUCAAUUCUAGUAUACAGGGGAAUGCGCGGGAAUGCGCUUUGGUCUUAUAUAAAUAGCUCAACUUCCUUUGCUUCCUUUCUAAUGACUACACCUUAGUUAGUUGUAUUAUAUCACCUAGCAGCUUUUAAGUAUAAUAAACAAUUUUCGCAAGAGCUAGAGUGUGUUAGUGAUAUAACCAUAUUAGUUAAAGACAUUUUCUCAAUCUUCUUAUAUAUGAUUAGCUCUCUUGUUUGAGACUGUCAUGUUUACCUCACUUUGACAGGUACUUCAGAUGAGUUCUUUGUUCAUUUUAUGUAGAUUAUUACCAAAAGUUUACACAAAACCAGAGAUUUUUUCUCUAUUUAUAUAUAUAUAUAUAUAUUUAAAAAUCUAGUUGCAUAUGUGAAUCUAUUUGAUAUUUGUGUAAUAACCUCUUGUUUUCUUUCUCUCUUUAUUUUUGUGAGUUAUUGUGUGACAGUUUGUAGUUUUGGGCUCCAAAAGGAUAUCUGAUUCAGUUCAUGAAGUUUCCAAUGCUUUACUGAAGAGAUUGCUUCCUAGACAUGAACUUUGUUUUAUUUUCAAGAUUGUCUCCAAGCUAAACAAAUAGACUCACAACAAAGACAAGUGCACAAAGGAUGAUGAAUUGAAGGAUGGAGCAAGUUUCAUGCAUGGUUUACUUUUGUGUAUCUUGUAAUGUUUCUGUUUUUCAUUUUUGAAGUAAAAAAUGUUCAAGAUUAUAAAACUUUAUUAUGAUAGGCUUUCAAACUUAAGUUAGAACUAAGAUCUCAUGAAGUAGACACAUUCAUGGUUUGAAUUAGUUAUUGUUUAAUGUAAUACUUAUGGUUUAUCAAUCUA